GACGAACCGUGCGAACGUUAUUCGGAAUCACUGGGCUUAAAGGGCGCGUAGGCGGGCUCGCCAGUCAGGGGUGAAAGCCCACUGCUCAACCGUGGAAGUGCCUUUGAUACUGCGAGUCUCGAGGGAGGUAGGGGCGUGCGGAACUUCCGGUGGAGCGGUGAAAUGCGUAGAUAUCGGAAGGAACACCGGUGGCGAAAGCGGCGCGCUGGACCUCUUCUGACGCUGAGGCGCGAAAGCCAGGGGAGCAAACGGGA
rnacentral:rRNA from 1 species